rnacentral:misc_RNA from 1 species
AAUUAAUACUCUUUUGCGUCUCAAAUGGGCAUUCAUGGUUCAUAGCAAAUUUGAGCCCAAAGAUAAGGCUCCAUUGCUACAAUAUAAUUAAAUUAAUAAUUUUUUGUAGAUAUUUAAAAUUCAUUUUCUUAAUAGAUAUUUAAAAAACGAAUGGAUACACAAUAAGCAUUAUGAUCCUAUAGAACUCAGAAAUCAGAACCCAGUCGAUCCAACAAGCGAGGAAUAUGAAGCAUUUUCAUCACUAGCCACAGGCCGCUUCUCGCUAUCUUUGUUUGAUACUGUAUCUCUACUACUUAGAAGUUGUCUCAGGCCUGCUAUCUCACACAAUUCUGACCUCCGAUGCUUUGAAGCCUCAAUGUCACCAUCCCAGCAAGUGUCGGAUAUAAUUUCAAGUGCUUUCUCUAUCAUGUCCGCUGGCACAAGAUUUCCCUUUUGCAAGAGUACAAGGUAAACUUGCUCGGCAGAAGCUUUCCUAAUCUGAGUUAGAAAAAGGAAAAUGGUUGUCUGAGCUUCUUGAGUUAUACAUAUAUAUAUAUAAUUCACAAUACAGAAGAUGCUAUACAUUAUAUACAAGGAAACACGAGGUUCAUAAUGCCCCAUACAUUUUCUAUUACCACAAACCUUGGGAUAUCGAUGGGUAAGAAAAGUAAGAAGAAGAGUGAAUGCCCGGGUGUUUGAAUGCUCCAAAAGUGAAGCAAUAUAUCCAAGUAUUGCAAUGCCGGCAUAUAACUUUGAGAAAUCCCUAGAUCCUUUCAAUUCGACAGCAAUAGAAUCCAAAACACCAUCACAGAAGAUUGGAGUAUGAAACUGCAAAUGAAAAGUCUAGAGAUAUUUCAACAUGUGCUCACUCCAAGUGAUGAUGAAAGACAAUCCACUACGGAAUGUUAUUCACGCUUUUGGUGGUUAGCGUAUAUAUUAGGAAAAAAAAAUAACUACUAGAAUUCAUCCAGGAACCUCAAAUUGUUCACUUGUUGUUUUAGAGGAUGUAAAUUAAAGCACAUCAAAACUACAAGCCUAAAACAAAAGUUUCAUGCAUAGAUGCCUUGGGAACUAGGAAAUUUUAGUUUGGUUCCUCCAAUACAUGACAGGACUUAAGCAAGUUAUUACUGGCAAUAACAAAGCAACAGAAAUAUAAAUCAAUCAUGCAAAGAUAAAGCAAUUAAAGGCAAAUAAUUAAUUUGGUGAUAUCAGUGAUAUCCUGAAACCAACUAAAUGAGAACAGUAAGAAACUAACAGCAUAAAUAAAUAUGGAGGCAACAGAAAUAGGGUAAGUCAACUAACCUCCAUGUUCAAGAAUAUCUUUUUGCUGAAAAGAAUCUCAAUUGUCUGAAAUAAACAAAAAUCUUGGUCAAGAUACUUAAGAUUCAUUAAACAGGGAUAAUAUUUUAAAAUGUUUGGACGAUAUGUUAAUUAUUAUUAUGGUUCUGUGGAUCUUUAAGCUAGACAUUAAUAAAUAUCAAAAAAUAAAGGCAUGAAAAAGAAGAAGAAAGAAAUUCUGCAGAAUUCUUCAAUUGAACACUGAAAGCUAAUUAUUUCGUUGCUGGUUAGUCACUAAUGUUGCCAGUUUACCUUUACAUCUUACUAAAGCAGAGACAAUCUAACUCUUUUUUUAGCAAAAAGCUUCCAUUACCUUCAAAGUAGGUAUAAUGACUCGAUCACAUUUCUUGUACUGUUCAAGCACCCAAAGGAUGUCGGCAGAUAGCAUAUAUUCUCUUGACCUUCUCUCAUUAGGGUCUUCAGAUUCAACUGCUUGAAGAUAGUCCAACAAUGCAGAGAAUGAUACCUUCCGUAAAGAAUCUUGCAAUCCACCAAUUGAAAUAACUAAGCCAGACAACGCUGCUCUACUAUAACAACUAAACUUGAGUAAUUUUAUAAAUCGUGGAUAUGAAAAGGAGGGUGCCCCCCAUUUUAAAUCUGCUUCAUUAGGAACAAUUUCUUCUAGCUUUUCCCUCAGUGGUAUGAAUGGGACAAAUAUUGUCCUGUUGUACAAUAUUCUUUGGAGAACUUUUGCAGCAGCUUCUCUUAUUUUGUCCAUCUUCUCUACGGCUUGCUUAACAAUUCCUUCAAUCAAAUGGACAGCAAGAUUUGCAUCAAAAAAUGAGAGCAUUUGGUUAUUCACAGCCCCUUCAGACAUCUCUAACAGAGACUCAACUCCAUAGGAUUUUCUACAGGAAUCCAUGAAACAGAGGAUAUAUGUACAUGUCUCAAGGCCUUCCAUAGCAGCCUCACGAACCCAAGAACCAACAUCACCUCUGUUAUCAACAGAAUAAUCUUCAAGAGCUUUAAAUAAACUUGGCAUCACUUCAUCCUUGAUCACUCGGCACACAGAAAUGCGAUCCUCUUCAGAACAAAUAUCAGAACAUUCUCUUGCCUGAGUUAAUGUCUUACACACUGAAAUGAGUCCUUUGACAGCAUUUACUCGUGCCUCAGCAUCUCUGUCCUCAGGGUUGUCCUCAAUUGCACAAGAGCUACAAAGCUUCAAAAGCACUUGUUUCCCUCGAUCAGCCAAACAUUCAUAUGGUAAAACACCUAGUGCUAAUGCAGAUCCUCUUCUUACAGCAACAUUUUGAUCAGUCAGUUGUUCCAAGUACUUUGCUGUUACACCACUUGCAGUUCCACUUUUUGCAUUGACAACGUAUGCUUGCACAAAGUGUUGGAGAGCUCUAACAGCAGCAUUCUGUAUUUGGGAAUUAGGAUGCCUCAAAUUAUCGUUAAGAGUAUCAAGUAAACUCCACUUUAUCUUUUCCGGCAAUGUCAAACAACACAAGGAGAUGCAAUCAAUGAAGCGGGAAACAGCAGAACGCAUUAUCUCUCCACCCUUCCCACGAUAAAGACGUGCUUUUUCUAUAGCAGAAACUAUACCAGCUACAUCUUUCUGUUUAUCAGUGGCAAGUACAUAAGCACAUUGAUGUAAAGCCAAAACAACUUCCCCUAGUGCCAAGGUCGCACCAUGACGCAUGCAUAAAUCAGAGGAUAGAGUAUAAGGAAUCAAUUUCUCCAAAACAAAGCCUGCAAAAUAUUCUGGAUCAUAUCUGACAAGAGCGGAAAGCGCCUCUGCAGCAAGUUCUCUCAAGCCUUUGUCCCAGUGACCAAUCUUGUUAUACAGCAGUUCCUCCGCAAAUGGAUAUAGGUAUCCUUCGUACUGAACAAUGGAGACGGCAACAUGGAGGUAAGAGUUUACUCGUGACGAAAGUGAAAAAUAGUCUGCAGUAUUCACUAUGUCAAUGCCAUGUGGAUAAUUGCCUUGUCUUCCAACAUUCUCCUGAAAAGCAGCUGCUGCUGCUCUUCUGCAAUUGACCUCACGAUCAUAGCAGGCCACUGUUAAUAGAUGUGGAGCAAGCUGUUCCAAUACUUUUCUCAUAUCAGUGUGAUAAUAUGCCCGACCAAAUGCCCAACAAACAUAAGCAGCAGCAUCACGCACAUGAGACCCAAUACUAUGUGGGCCUCUUCGAAUAUCAUAAUGCAAUGCCUUCACAACAAAAGGUACAACUUUGGGAAGAUUGGCAGGCAAUAGCAACCCUCUACGUGCUAGCUCAGCCAAUGAUAAACAAGCUCCAUGCCAUGAGCCAUCACCUUCUCCAGGUGAAAACAGCUCCAAAACAUAUGACAAGACCUCUUCUGAGAGGGCAGAUGUCAAAAGGGAAGUUACACGGCCUAUACCUUUUGCAGCAGACCAACGAACAACAGUGUCCGUGUCUCUCAAUCCAGAAAGUAAAAUCUCAAUGAUCUCUUCUACAAUUUCUGGAACAUCCAUAUCUUCAUUUUGCAUGUGAUUUGAAGUUUCUUCUGCUUUGGUGGAGCACAUGUUUGCAACAGGACUCCAUUGAUCAGCUCUUUUAGACACAGGUUGAGAAACAUGCACUCCAAGUGAGUUGGUUCUGCCCACAUAACACCAGGCUGGUGAACGAUGGGGGAGGCAAGUCAGUCCUAUCCGCUGAGUUAACUUCACCAAAUACUUACGAAGCAAUGGACUACGAGCUGUGGUAUCAGACUUGACUAGUGAUGAAACAUCAUUCCAAACAAUGGGAACAACAUCCAUCAACACUUUCCGACCACCUGCCUUGAAAAUAGCAGCCAGUGCUUCCACAACUCCUAGUAACUGAAAGUGCAACAUGACAUCAUCUUUGCCAGAAGAUAAUACUUCAUGAGCCCAUUCAUUGAAGCUGGUAAAGGCCUUUGUCAUAUCGGGACGCGUUAGAAGCCUAGAGAGCAGCAGCCCAGCCAUGGUGCGCAUGGGACCCGCAUUGGAAAGGUAAUCCUUAGAGAACUUCAAUAUCUUCAAAACAAGGGGGGCAGGCUCAAGUUUACCGAGAUCAUGACUAUUUGCAAUACUAGAAUCAACAGAGGAGAUAUCGAAUGGAACUAAUACAAGAAUUGAAAGCCACAGAAGUGUCACACAUUUUGCCUCCAUCUCUCCCGUACUUUCCUGCCGCAAAGACGUAGCUGAAGCCAUAUCAUGGCACUUCUCCAAGAGAGAGACUGCAAGUUCCAAAUCAGAAACUUGAUGCGGAAAGAACUUGAUAACCGCCUUGUAUCCACAAACCGUAACCAGGCAAUAUAUAAUGAUGCAUAUGGGCUUAAUUACUUCAAGUAUCUCGUCCGAAGCAACUCCUAAUUCAAUUGUUUUACCGCGCACAAUCGACAUCAAAGGAGAAACUACGCUCUCUAAGUAAGGCUCCAGUAGUUGUCCUUCUUGCUGAUACUUGUCCAUAAUGGAUCGAAUUCUGUGGACGGAAGAGGGAUCGGAGACGCGGCCAUUGGAAACGAUGUCUUCGAGGAGGGAUUUAACAACCUUCCACUCCUGCAAGAAGUACUUCUGCAAAACCCUCUCCUUGGAACCGUGCUCGUCGUCUUCUUCUUCCACUGCCAUUUCCUCCUCCUUCCUUAGUGUCUCUUCUAUCACCGCCGCCAUUCUCCUUUUGAUUUGUAUGGACACAGAAAUGCGGUUACAAAUCCCGCCGGAGACCCUAUAAAUUCUUGCUGCCGAAACCGAUAAAGAAUCGAAGAUGAUGAGAUGAGACAAGAAGUAGGGCGAAAGCCGGAAAGGGAAGGGGAGAAGCGGCGUAGUCUCGGCGAGAUGGUCAGGACUCAGGCCAGAACCUCAAGCGGCGGCGAGAAUUCGUGGUGGUGUACCAGCAAAUUAUCCAAGGAAUCGAGGUUACAUUGAAAAUCGGUCAGUUUGUUUUUUUCGAUUUUUUUAGACAAAAAAACCGAACUAAACACCAAAAUUUCCAAAAA